ACAAAUCUGUGAUUGAGCUCAUUGCCCGCACAUAAAUUAGGUUUUUUUGUACCUCGAACUGCUUCUACAGCUUAUAUUGAUGGGAAAGUGAUUUCCGGAGUUUUCAGUGCCCCCUACAGCUUAUUUUGAUGCAACAGUAAACUCCGGAGUUUUCAAGGUCAUCGGGGUCCUUCUUUACAACCAAUCAAGAAUCAAGUCGAUCAGCUGCAACACCAGGAGAAUUAUGAAGGAACUUACUAGAUGAUCAUGAAUUCAAAGGACAAAGCUUUUCAAACAAAGCAAGAAGGAGAUGUCAAUGAUAGCAAGUUCUCCAAAAGCGCAUCUACUUCAAGACCAUGGGCAGGCUUUAGAAAUCCAAGAAUAGUACGUGUUUCGCGUUCUUUUGGGGGAAAAGAUAGGCAUAGCAAAGUGUGCACCGUAAGGGGACUGAGAGAUAGGAGGAUUAGACUUUCAGUGCCCACUGCAAUUCAGUUGUACGAUCUUCAGGAUAGACUUGGGCUCAGCCAACCUAGCAAGGUCGUAGAUUGGUUGAUUGAUGCCACUAAAAGUGAGAUUGACAAACUUCCACCACUGCAAAUACAAGCAGGAAGCUUCAGUCAAUUCCAUCAGGCAAUUGCACUUUCUCAGCACUCAUCGGCAACUUCAUCAAAUCUGCCCCACUUCUUCUGUGCAAAUCCAUCGUAUAUGAAAGAUGUAGGAGCUCCAAGUUUCCUCUCUAACAAGCAGGGGCUAAAGAUUAAUGACCAUAUUCAUGGAAAUAGUCAAACUAUUUUGGAUAGAUCAAGAUGUUGGAAUCCAGAUGUCGCAGUGAAUCGCAAGGAAGCUGAAAAAGAAGCCGCUGCAGGAAAAGACAAGUGGAUUGCAUCAAAUGAGCAGGAGGGUAUGGAGGGUUAUGCUGCUCAGCUCACAGCUCAAAACUUCUUCCCGGUAGCCAAUCUAUCUUCUUUUCCAAGCUUGUUACCCAAUCCGUUGCCAUACAAUCCUUAUUACCAGUGGGAGGCUUCAAACUUGUCUCUAUCUCAAUUAGGAGGCCACUCCAAUAUUCCAAUGCAACCCGAAGACUCUCAAAGUCAUAAUGCCUUAUCUCUGGGAUCUUCAAUGGCUCUCCCGUCUGGUUCUCAGCUGUGUUUCUGUCCUUCUGCAGCAACAAUUCCUACGAUUCUUCCUUCAUUGCCUCCAUAUAUGACUGCUUCUGUAGAGAGUGAUCCCAGACAAAGCAAUAACUUCCAAUUCUUGAGCUCAAGUACACAGCAGGUUCAAGCAAAUUCUCUGAUGCCUACUCUUCAUCUGAUCAGUUCACCCUUGAAAUCCCUUACGCUGAAUAGUAAUCCCAAGAUUCUACAUUUACAAGAGAACAGCAAAAACCAUCCAAACAAAGGAGACAGUGGUUCUUGAAUGAAUUGGAGGGCAUUUGAACUUAUACCAUCCAAAUAUUUAAACCAAAGUUCCAUAGUUCAAAGUUUUAUAAGCUGAAUUAUUACUUAAAACUGCAUUAAGUUGUCUUGGUGGUCUAAAUGGUGUACAUUUUUGAAAGUUGAUAUCAGGCUUUACGACCAAGAGAAUUUACAUUAUAUUAGAGCUUUUUGUGGACAAUGCCAAGAUUUCAAGGAAAGACAGAUAAGGCAUCGAUGGCAUGGAUUACAUGGAUUUUACGAGGACGCGGAACUCGAUCCUCAAUCCAAUAUCUGAACUUCACUCUUGGU